rnacentral:rRNA from 1 species
AAGACCUUGCGCUUUUGGAGCGGCCGAUGUCUGAUUAGCUAGUUGGUGGGGUAAUGGCCUACCAAAGCUUCGAUCAGUGGCUGGUCUGAGAGGACGGCCAGCCACACUGGGACUGAGACACGGCCCAGACUCCUACGGGAGGCAGCAGUGGGGAAUUUUGGACAAUGGGCGCAAGCCUGAUCCAGCCAUGCCGCGUGAGUGAAGAAGGCCUUCGGGUUGUAAAGCUCUUUCAGCCGGGAAGAAAAGGCUGCGACUAAUAAUCGCAGUUCAUGACGGUACCGGAAGAAGAAGCACCGGCUAACUACGUGCCAGCAGCCGCGGUAAUACGUAGGGUGCGAGCGUUAAUCGGAAUUACUGGGCGUAAAGGGUGCGCAGGCGGUUUUGUAAGUCAGAUGUGAAAUCCCCGGGCUUAACCUGGGAACU